AUAGACGCACUCAUGUGUAUAAGAAAGAGCUUUAUCUACACAGCCAGACACUAUGCCAUAGUAUCAUUUCCCUUUAACGUACUUCCGGUGUGCUGUGUCUUCUUCAUGGCAUAUCAUUUGUAAAGGUGAACAUAGAG